rnacentral:ncRNA from 1 species
GAUGGACCUUAAAAAGUCCUUUAAACACAAAGGUUUGGUCCUAACCUUGAAGUCAGUUUUUACUUAAUAUACACAUGCAAGUAUCCGCCCCCCUGUGAAAACGCCCUCUAACCCCUAAUAGGGAAAAGGAGCCGGUAUCAGGCACGAAAAUCUGCCCAAGACACCUAGCUAUGCCACACCCACAAGGGACUUCAGCAGUGAUUAACAUUGAAUAUUAGCGCAAGCUUGAAUCAGUUAAAGUAAAUAGAGCCGGCUAAUCUGGUGCCAGCCGCCGCGGUUACACCAUGUGGCUCUAAUUGACUUCUCCGGCGUAAAGCGUGAUUAAAGCCACCCCCUCACUAGAGUUAAACUAAAACUAAGCUGUGACACGCCUGUUUAUUAAGGAAAUCCAAAAACGAAGGUUACUCUAACACAACCAACUUGAAUUCACGACAGCUGGGAAACAAACUGGGAUUAGAUACCCCACUAUGCCCAACCGUAAACUUUUACUUACAGCCAAAUCGCCAGGGAACUACGAGCUAAGCUUAAAACCNNNAGGACUUGACGGUACCCNNAAAUCCCCUAGAGGAGCCUGUCCUAUAAUCGAUAAUNNNCGUUUAACCUCACCACUUUUAGCCAACCAGUCUGUAUACCUCCGUCGUCAGCUUACCCCGUGAGCGUCAAUUAGUGAGCCCAAUGUUAAUUCACCAAUACGUCAGGUCAAGGUGCAGCAAAUGAAGUGGGAAGAGAUGGGCUACACUCUCUAUGUUAGAAAAAACGAAAAACUACCUAUGAAACCUAGUUAGAAGGCGGAUUUAGCAGUAAAAAGGAAUCAGCAUAUCCUUUUUAACCCGGCACUGGGUGUGUACACNNCCGCCCGUCACCCUCUUCAAAGCUAUAAACAUAGCCCCCAACAAACCCAAACAUGACANAAGAGGCAAGUCGUAACAUGGUAAG